rnacentral:lncRNA from 1 species
UUAGCACUUAUAAUUUGUCUAUGGACCUUAGAACAAUCCUCUCUUAAGGUUUUAGUGGUUGUAAGGUGAAUAACAUCUUAUUUUCCAGUUUCAAACAUUUAUUUCUUUGUACAUAUGUUGCUUAUCAACACACUCAUUAUACUUUGGUACUUUUGAGUGUUAUAGCUGAUUUAUAAUGCAUCAAAUUGUACAAAUGAAAACUUAGUAUGUAAUGUACUGGAAAAUGUACUUAUUUCCAUGUGUAAGGCCUUAACUUUAUGGGUCAUGACAUGCACCUUAGGAGUUCUAGUGAUUAUUCCACAUAUAAGAGAUUAGCCUUAGGAAAAUCUUAAUCUGGAAUAACUUUAGUGAUAGCAUUAUGUUAGAGAGUUCUUGAUUAUCAUAAGAGACAUCAUGUUCGAUUUGUCCUGAUCAUCAUGCUCUAAUUUUCUUCCUUAUAAUCUUUAUCAGAAGAGAGCAAUAGGAUUAUCGUGUCUUAAGAAAUAAUCAAGGAUUUAAUUUAAGAGCUAAUUCCAAUAGAAACUUUAAAUAAAACAAACAUUUUGGGUUUAGGAAUUAGAGUGGAUGAGAUAUAUGUAGAAGUAAAUUAUAGUGAGUAAAAUUAUGG